rnacentral:rRNA from 1 species
UACGAAGGGGGCUAGCGUUGUUCGGAAUCACUGGGCGUAAAGCGCGUGUAGGCGGAUUGUUAAGUCGGGGGUGAAAUCCUGAGGCUCAACCUCAGAACUGCCUUCGAUACUGGCGAUCUUGAGUCCGGGAGAGGUGAGUGGAACUCCUAGUGUAGAGGUGAAAUUCGUAGAUAUUAGGAAGAACACCAGUGGCGAAGGCGGCUCACUGGCCCGGUACUGACGCUGAAACGCGAAAGCGUGGGGAGCAAAC